rnacentral:rRNA from 1 species
AUUGAACGCUGGCGGUAUGCUUAACACAUGCAAGUCGAACGGUAACAGGCCUUCGGGCGCUGACGAGUGGCGGACGGGUGAGUAACGCGUAGGAAUCUGCCUCAUAGUGGGGGACAACGUGUGGAAACGCACGCUAAUACCGCAUACGCCCUACGGGGGAAAGCGGGGGACCUUCGGGCCUCGCGCUAUGAGAUGAGCCUGCGUUAGAUUAGCUAGUUGGUAGGGUAAAGGCCUACCAAGGCGACGAUCUAUAGCUGGUCUGAGAGGACGAUCAGCCACACUGAGACUGAGACACGGACCAGACUCCUACGUGAGGCAGCAGUGGGGAAUAUUGGACAAUGGGCGCAAGCCUGAUCCAGCAAUGCCGCGUGUGUGAAGAAGGCCCUAGGGUUGUAAAGCACUUUCAAUAGGGAGGAAAACCUGUCGGUCAAUACCCGGCAGCUUGACAUUACCUAUACAAGAAGCACCGGCUAACUCCGUGCCAGCAGCCGCCGUAA